rnacentral:rRNA from 1 species
GAAUUUUGGACAAUGGGGGAAACCCUGAUCCAGCCAUCCCGCGUGUGCGAUGAAGGCCUUCGGGUUGUAAAGCACUUUUGUCAGGGAAGAAAAGGUUCUGGCUAAUACCCGGAACUGCUGACGGUACCUGCCGAAUAAGCACCGGCUAACUACGUGCACGCAGCCGCGGUAAUACGUAGGGUGCAAGCGUUAAUCGGACUUACUGGGCGUAAAGCGGGCGCAGGGGGUUUGGCAAGAAGGAUGUGAAAUCCCAGGGCUUAAACUUGGAACUGCAUUCUUAACUGCCAGGCUAGAGUAUGUCAGAGGGGGGUAGAAUUCCGCGUGUAGCAGUGAAAUGCGUAGAGAUGCGGAGGAAUACCGAUGGCGAAGUCAGCCCCCUGGGAUAAUACUGACGCUCAUGCACGAAAGCGUGGGGAGCAAACA